CUUGCAUGUGUGCCAAGAAACAUCUUGGCAAGCAUGGCCAGUCUUUUUCCCCUAAGUAAAUGAACUAAAUAAUUGGAAUGGUUUAGGGAGGAAAUGACAAGGUGUGUCUGACACAGCUGCAGAGGUCAUUUAACAAACACAGUGAUGUCAUGGGAAGUAGCUUCUUCACAGCACUUGGUUUCCUUUCAUCUGAACAGCUGAGCUACUUUGUAAAGGGUUGGAUUUUCCUCUAUAGGCGUUCAGAAACUCCAUUGCAUAGAUCUUUUUGAAUGCUCUCUCAGGGCGUCUGUCUGCUUCCAGUCCCGUGGAGACGGCUGGACACCCUGGCACCAGGUCUGAAGCUGGGAAAGAUCGUCGGCCCAGAUAUAAACAGGAGAGAGACCCCACCCAUGGGCAUGGGACAGACAGACAAACCUGACAUAUCCUCUCCUGUAAUCACUUCCAAAGAACUCAACAAAAACAUCCCUCAGCUUUUCCUUCAACCCAAUGUCAAUGUGCUAUUUUUUGUUUAGUAAUCUUGAAAAUGAAGCUAUAUGGAUUGCAACGCACAAAGUAAUCUUACUGAUGCUUACCAAUAUUAAUCCAUACCCACAAUGUCAUCUCAUUGCCAAAAUGUACCAUUUCCCAGAAGGAAAUUCUGGCCUCCAAAAAUAAGGUUGAUGUUUGCUAAAAAAAUGCAGGUUGAAAAUGUUCUGCAUAUCAAUCCACAAACAGACAGGCUGACUAUAUUAAUGCUGAGGCCUCCACACAAGGGCGUAGCCUUUUCCAGAUGCUCAUUUUUGGAAUUUGACCAGAUUAACAAGUGAUGACGAACUGAUGACGUGCAGAGGACUGUCAGAGGACAUGGUUGCUCAAUGAGGACUUUUUACUCAAAGACAGAGAAGGCAUUAGUCUUCUUCAUAAGCUUUCAUGAAAUAUUGUGCUGAUUGUCUUUCAGAGGCCAAAAUAACCCUCUUGUUUAAAUCAAUGUCCAAAUGGACAGUUAGAUCAUGACAUUUUGGUGUGGCUAUGAAAAAUCUUUGUAACCUUUGACAUUGAUCACAAGAACAUUAAAAACGUAUUAAAGGCAUGAAAUUCCAGUUCUGCUAUGAAGUAACAGUGAAUCUUAACUAAACCUCU
rnacentral:lncRNA from 8 species